AUGUCCUCAUGCCUCAAAGCUAUGAUCAUUGAGUUUUUCAUUCUCUCUUUGCCUUCAAACUGAAUUUGGUAUAGAAGGUAUCAAUAUAUAGAUAUUAAAGCUGAAGCGUGCACAUAAAUUUACAAAUGAAUGUCACCUGUUUAAGUAAUUAACUUAAAAAUAUACGAUUUGUCAGUCAAUUGUCAUUAUCUUCUAUUGAUUUAUAUAACUUAAUCUCUAGCUUUUGAUUUAUAUAACUCAAUCUCUAAUUUUUGGAUUGAGUUAGGUCCGGUCCAUUUUCUCAAUAUAUAUUAAAAAUUACCCUAGUUGAGUGCUUCAUGUACAAACUUUAAGUUUCAGAUAUUUAUGUCUGGGCAAAGGGGUGUGUUGCUUUUGCAGAAGUACCAUCAAUGGAAAUAGAGGCUACGAGCAGAUGGAGAUGAACUUGAGCAUCUUCUAGGAGCAAGAGAAGUGUUGUCUUUCAAGAACGCACUCAAUCCAUUGUUUCUUCAUUCCUUCUAUACAAAAGAAACGAGAUUCUCAAACUAUUUCGUCAAACAAAUUUUGCUUGAAUUAAAUUAUUGAGAUUUUUUUUCUUUUCACAUUCAAUUGUAUAUCCUGACAGAUAGUAAGCAAUGCAUCAUGAAAAGCAAGGAAUAUGAUUCUUGCUAAAGUCUUACUGAUCACACAAUCUCCAGAAGAAUUUCUCCAUAUAUACAACGAGGGCAUUCAUCUCCAAUCCAUGUUAUCAAAAGAUC
rnacentral:misc_RNA from 1 species